AUGGCGUGUGUUGGUGAGUCCUGGAAGGGAAUCGACAGAGGAAGCGCUGGGGUGGAGAUCUGGGCCUGGGUGGAGAUCUGGGCCUGGAGGGGAGAUAUGGGCCUGGGGUGGAGAUCUGGGCCUGGCAUAGAAAUUUUGGCUUGGAGAUCUAGGCCUCGGUGCAGAUCUGGAUCCGGAGGCUGGGUCUCUGCACAGCUGACAUCCCUGCUGCGGGGGCAGGUAGGCAGCCAGGGUGAUGGGACAAGCCCCUUCCUGUCUGCCCAGCCCAAGCGCCUUGUCCACGAAAAACCUUCCCUCCUGGCCACCAAAGUCCCUGAGUGAAAUCAGGGAGAACAGUCAUCUCAAUGGCCAAAACCUCCCUGAAGAAACUGCCUCUUCUCCUUCCAGGUCUAUAUGAGAAACCUUCUCUCUCAGCCCAGCCGGGCCCCACGGUUCAGGCAGGAGAGAACGUGACCUUGUCCUGCAGCUCCCAGACCUUGUUUGACAUGUACCAUCUAUCCAGGGAGGGGGAGGCCCGUGACCUUAGGCUCCCUGCAGUGCCAAACAUCAAUGGAACAUUCCAGGCCGACUUCUCUCUGGGCCCUGCCACCCACGGAGGAACCUACAGAUGCUUUGGUUCUUUCCAUAUCGCACCCUACGAGUGGUCAGACCCGAGUGACCCACUGCAUGUUUCUGUCACAGGAAACCCUUCACGUAGUUGGCCUUCGCCCACUGAACCAAACUCCAAACCGUCUCUUCUUCCUCCAGGUAACCCCAGACACCUGCAUGUUCUGAUUGGGACCUCAGUGGUCAUGAUCCUCUUCACCAUCUUCUUCAUUCUCCUGCAUCGCUGGUGCUCCAACAAAAAAGAUGCUGCUGUAAUGGACCAAGAGCCUGCAGGGGACAGAACAGUGAACAGGGAGGACUCUGAUGAACAAGACCCUCAGGAGGUGACAUACGCACAGUUGGAUCACUGCGUUCUCACACAGGGAAAAAUCACUCGCUCUUCUCAGAGGCCCAAGACACCCCCAACAGACACCAGCAUGUACAUAGAGCUUCCAAAUGCUGAGCCCAGAUCAAAAGUUGUCUUCUACCCAUGAGCACCACCGUCAGGCCUUGAAGGGGUCUUCUAGGGAGACAACAGCCCUGUCUCAAAACCGGCUUGCCAGCUGCAAUGUACCAGCAGCAGGAAUCUGAAGGUGUGAGUCUGAAUCUUAAGGCAUCGCUCUUCCUCACACCACGAAUCUGAACGUGCCUCUCUCUCGCUUACAAAUGUCUAAGGUCCCCACUGCCUGCUGCAGAGAAAACACACUCCUUUGCUUAGCCCACAAUUCUCCAUUUCACUUGACCCCUGCCCACCUCUCCAACCUACUGGCUUACUUCCUAGUCCUGCUGGAGGCUGCAGUCACACUGAGGAACUCACAAUUCCAAACAUACAAGACGCUCCCUUUUAACACGGCACUUAGACUCAUGCUGUUCCACCUUCCCUCAUGCUGUUCCACCUCCCCCCAGACUAUCUUUCAGCCUUCUGUCAGCAGUGAAACUUAAGAAUUUUUUUAUCAUUUCAACGUAGCGCUCUCCUCUUCAA